AGGAUGAACGCUGGCGGCGUGCCUAAUACAUGCAAGUCGAGCGCCCCUUUAAGAGGUGACAAUCAAUACGAUUGUCGGUUCCUAUGGGGAGCGGCGGACGGCUGAGUAACACGUGGGAACAUGCCCCAAAGUGAGGGAUAAGCACCGGAAACGGUGUCUAAUACCGCAUAUGAUCUUCGGAUUAAAGCUUUAUGCGCUUUGGAGUGGCCUGCGUCUAUUAGAUAGUUGUGAGGUAAAGGCUCACCAAGUCAACGAUGGGUAGCUGGUCUGAGAGGAUGACAGCCAGACUGGAACUGAGACACGGUCCAGACCUCCGUACGGGAGGCAGCAAGUAAGGAAUCUUACCACAAGUGGGACGAAAGCCUAGAGUAGGAGACCGAACGCCCGGCGUGCGAGGAUAGGAACGGCCCGUACGGGUACGUAAACGUGUACUUUUAUGAGUAGAAAGAAUAGUAGAACGUAACU
rnacentral:rRNA from 1 species